UACAGAGGAUGCAAGCGUUAUCCGGAAUGAUUGGGCGUAAAGCGUCUGUAGGUGGCUUUUUAAGUCCGCCGUCAAAUCCCAGGGCUCAACUCUGGACAGGCGGUGGAAACUACCAAGCUGGAGUACGGUAGGGGCAGAGGGAAUUUCCGGUGGAGCGGUGAAAUGCGUAGAGAUGCGGCGGAACACCGAUGGCGAAGGCAGCCCCCUGGGCUGAGAUUGACGCUCAGGCACGAAAGCGUGGGGAGCAAACAGG
rnacentral:rRNA from 1 species